GAAUCCAAGCUCAAAAUUUCGAAACCAUACACCAAAAAUCCUAGAUCUACAAAUGAAAAUGUGAAAUUUUUACCUCUUUUUCCGGUCCCCUUCUUUCCUUCCGGUUCGUUUCUGCUCCCUUACGGUCCGGUUCCGCUUUCUGCUCCGGUUCGGCCUGCUUGCUGUUCUGGUUCGGUUGUGUUGUUGUUGCUCCGGUCCGGUUGUGUUGUUGUUGCUCUGGUCCGGUUGUGUUGUUGUUGCUCCGGUCCGGUUGUGUUGUGGUUGCUUGUUUGUGAUUUGUGUGGUUAUAUGAAUAGUUUUGAGGUUUUAGUAAAGUUUUGGUAUUGCUGGAUUUUGAUGAAUAUAUGAAUGUUCUUCAUGUGUUCAUGUUAUUUCUUUGUAAUUUUUAGUGUUUGAUCUGAAAAAGGGUUGGAAAAGUAGAAAAUGAGUGUUUGUGAAUUGCUGCUGAUUUUUUGACGUGAACAGUGACUUCUGGCCCAUUUCCCAAUGAUUGACAGGGUUUUUAUAGUGACAAACUAGGGUUGGCUCUGGGUUGGCUCUGGUACAAAACAAAAACCAAAAUGCCCCUGCAGCUGAGACUUGGGGACAAAGGCUUAACAAAUAAAUAAAUAAAUAAAAAUAAAAAGAAUGAAUAAAAAGAAAAAGAAAAAGAAAAGCAAAAGAAAAAGAAGAAAGGGAAGACGUAUGUCUUCUUCUUUUCUUUGUUGUGUUUUUUUUUAUAAAAAAAUAAAAAUAAUAAAAUAA
rnacentral:lncRNA from 1 species